rnacentral:tRNA from 1 species
UUCUAAUAUGGCAGAUUAGUGUUGUGAACUUAAAAUUCAUAUAUAAGUUUUAACUUUAUUAGAAA